UACGGAGGGGGCUAGCGUUGUUCGGAAUUACUGGGCGUAAAGCGCGCGUAGGCGGACCUGCAAGUCGGGGGUGAAAUCCUGGAGCUCAACUCCAGAACUGCCUUUGAUACUGGAGAGCUUGAGUCCGGGAGAGGUGAGUGGAACUCCGAGUGUAGAGGUGAAAUUCGUAGAUAUUCGGAAGAACACCAGUGGCGAAGGCGGCUCACUGGCCCGGUACUGACGCUGAUGUGCGAAAGCGUGGGGAGCAAACAGG
rnacentral:rRNA from 1 species